UGACAUUAUGACGUAGGUGCAAAACCUUAAUAAGCGCUCGCUCAUGACAGAAUCUUAGGGGUAACAACUAGGGGUAACUGAGUUUGGUUCGCGAGAAGAAGAUAACGGUAGAAAACGGACAAGACGAAGCAGAACUAACGACAAGGGAAACAUUGUUAAACAAUAUAUUAGUAGUAAGCCUAGUUCCAGUUGGUAUAGCGGAAUAAUAGGCUAUAGACUACGUUUGUUUACUUUCCGAUCGUCGUUAGUGUGUUCAGUGUCAGUAACAAAGUUGCCGUUGUAGCUACGUUGGUCAGCUGGCUCCCGUAGCUUCUAGUCUAAAGUGAACAUCGACGAGGGAUUCGUAUUAGGCUACUUUAAGCUGCAGUCUUUUUAGGCCUAUGUAAAAAGAGCUACUGGACACGGACUAACAGUUACAUAUCGAUUUAGUUUCCUAGAAAGUAAGCAACAGUUUAUCGUUCACCGGCUAGCUAUUAGCUCAUCUAAGGAAACAGAAGAGUCCCACCGUAUCCCUGGCAACCACAGGAGUAGUCUCUCUCCCCCCUGCCAUCCAUCCCUGACGUCCACGAGUGACUCAUCUCCCUUCUCUUCGGUUCACGGGGCGGCAUCUAAGAAUAGAGGGGUAAUAUCUGGAAUCCCAAUAUCAGUGACAAUAGAAGAAGUCAUUGAAAGUUUAAAAGAACAUGGUGUUACAGAAGCUAAACGACUGAUAAAAGAGCAAACGACCUGGAGAUCAACUGAUAAUCAUCAAAUAAGAUCAUUCAGUAGAGAGAAUCAAAGGAGUCAUAAG